rnacentral:rRNA from 1 species
AGGACGAACGCUGGCGGCGUGCCUAACACAUGCAAGUCGAGCGGGACAUACGACGGAUCGGAAGUUUUCGGAUGGAAGAGAAGAUGUAUGUUCUAGCGGCGGACGGGUGAGUAACGCGUGAGCAACCUGUCCUUCACAGGGGGAUAACACAGCGAAAGUUGUACUAAUACCGCAUGAGACCACACUGGGACAUCCCAGAGGGGUCAAAGGAGCAAUCCGGUGAAGGGUGGGCUCGCGUCCGAUUAGAUAGUUGGUGAGGUAACGGCCACCAAGUCGACGAUCGGUAGCCGACCUGAGAGGUUGAACGGCCACAUUGGGACUGAGACACGGCCCAGACUCCUACGGGAGGCAGCAGUGGGGAAUAUUGCACAAUGGGCGAAAGCCUGAUGCAGCGAUGCCGCGUGGAGGAAGAAGGUUUUCGGAUUGUAAACUCCUUUUUCAGGGACGAUAAUGACGGUACCUGAAGAAGAAGCUCCGGCCAACUACGUGCCAGCCGCCGC